rnacentral:rRNA from 1 species
UGGGGAAUAUUGCGCAAUGGGGGGAACCCUGACGCAGCCAUGCCGCGUGAAUGAAGAAGGCCUUCGGGUUGUAAAGUUCUUUCGGUAUUGAGGAAGGUUGAUGUGUUAAUAGCACAUCAAAUUGACGUUAAAUACAGAAGAAGCACCGGCUAACUCCGUGCCAGCAGCCGCGGUAAUACGGAGGGUGCGAGCGUUAAUCGGAAUAACUGGGCGUAAAGGGCACGCAGGCGGUUAUUUAAGUGAGGUGUGAAAGCCCCGGGCUUAACCUGGGAAUUGCAUUUCAGACUGGGUAACUAGAGUACUUUAGGGAGGGGUAGAAUUCCACGUGUAGCGGUGAAAUGCGUAGAGAUGUGGAGGGAUACCGAAGGCGAAGGCAGCCCCUUGGGAAUGUACUGACGCUCAUGUGCGAAAGCGUGGGGAGCAAACAGGAUUAGAUACCCUGGUAGUCCACGCUGUAAACGCUGUCGAUUUGGGGGUUGGGGUUUAACUCUGGCGCCCGUAGCUAACGUGAUAAAUCGACCGCCUGGGGAGUACGGCCGCAAGGUUA